GACGAACGCUGGCGGCGUGCUUAACACAUGCAAGUCGAACGGAAAGGCCCUGCUUUUGUGGGGUGCUCGAGUGGCGCACGGGUGAGUAACACGUGAGUAACCUGCCCUUGACUUUGGGAUAACUUCAGGAAACUGGGGCUAAUACCGGAUAGGAGCUCCUGCUGCAUGGUGGGGGGUGGAAAGUUUCGGCGGUUGGGGAUGGACUCGCGGCUUAUCAGCUUGUUGGUGGGGUAGUGGCUUACCAAGGCUUUGACGGGUAGCCGGCCUGAGAGGGUGACCGGCCACAUUGGGACUGAGAUACGGCCCAGACUCCUACGGGAGGCAGCAGUGGGGAAUAUUGCACAAUGGGCGGAAGCCUGAUGCAGCAACGCCGCGUGCGGGAUGACGGCCUUCGGGUUGUAAACCGCUUUCGCCUGUGACGAAGCGUGAGUGACGGUAAUGGGUAAAGAAGCACCGGCUAACUACGUG
rnacentral:rRNA from 1 species